rnacentral:ncRNA from 2 species
UGUGUUCGCUAGGGGUGGCUGGUUUUUUGCCGGUCUGAGACAGUCCCUAUGAACCUGAUCAGGAUAGCCUUUUGGCGUACCUGCGUAGGGAAGCGGCGGCAGUUGAGA